rnacentral:misc_RNA from 1 species
UUUCCGUAGGUGAACCCGCGGAAGGCUCAUUAUUGUAUAACCGAGGUGCGAGGGCUGUCGCUGACCCGAAAGGUCGUGCACGCCCGAGUGCCCUCACACACAUCCAUCUCACCCCUAUGUGCACCACCGCGUGGGUCCCCCUUUGGCUUGUUCGGAGGGGGGCUUACGUUUUCACACAAACUUUGUAUGCAGUGUAGAAUGUAUUUUUUGUUUUUGCGAUCACGCAAUCAAUACAACUUUCAACAACGGAUCUCUUGGCUCUC